rnacentral:lncRNA from 1 species
CCACAAGCAGUCAUUAUAAUCUUGGCUAAUUCUUGCUGGUAGGGGGGUAGACAGCGGUGCACUUCUCUAAAAUAGCAGCACCUCUCCAUUUCAGUGGCACCAAGACACCCAGCUUCCCAAGAGUGACAAGCUUCCCUCGGCCUUGACUCCUACAACAAGCCUGACCACGGACUAUGCCAGCCUCCAGGGGCACAUGCCAAUUGUCCCGAGACCACUCCUUCAGAAAUCCUCUCUCCCAGAUUUCUUUCCCUGGGCAGGGGGCUAGGGCCCCAGCACCAGUUGCCUCCACAAAGUCCUUGGGUGCAUCUGGAAUCCCAAAGUAAAAACAUUUAUUGUACUGAGCUUCAUAUGGUGGGCAUCAUUGAGAGACCUCAGAAAUACUGUGUUACCUCGAAGGAUUACAGUCCAGCAGGAAAGGUUAAAAAAAAAAAAUGUUUAAAUCAAUUCCCAGCAGAAAGGGACCAGUGGAGGGAAGCGCACAGGAGAGACAUCUGGGUUUUAGGAUGGAGCUGAAUACCUACAAUAUGGACUCAGAAAGCAGGCUGCCUGGCUUCCGUCCCAGCGCUGCGUCUUUUGAGCUACGUGACCUUGGGCAAGGUACUUGACUUAGUUUCUUCUAUAACGUGAAAUAUCAGUAGUGACUACCCUAUGGAGUUUUCGUGAGGAUCAAGAGGUAAAUAUGUAAAGCUUUUGGAAUAAUUCCUAGCAUAAAUUUAGCCCCCGGUAUCUUUUUUUAAAUUAUAACCUAUUAGAAAUAGCUCCCAGAGGGCAGGUGUCUCCUCUGUUUUGUCACUUGCCAAUUCUUAGCACCCAGUACAGUUCUUAGCACAUAGUGGGAAUUCAAUAAAUAUUCAUUUAAUAGAGGUUAAAUGACGAAA